rnacentral:rRNA from 1 species
GACGAACGCUGGCGGUGUGCUUAACACAUGCAAGUGGUGCGACGAACCAGAGCUUGCUCUGGGGCAAAGCCGCGAACGGGUGAGUAACACGUGGGUAAUCUACCCCGAUGACCGGGACAACCCGAGGAAACUCGGGCUAAUACCGGAUGUGGUACGGAGACAUAAGUCUCUUUACUAAAGGUAGCUUCGGCUUCCGCAUUGGGAGGGGCCCGCGGCCCAUUAGCUAGUUGGUGGGGUCAAGGCCUACCAAGGCAACGAUGGGUAGCUGGUCUGAGAGGACGAUCAGCCACACUGGGACUGAGACACGGCCCAGACUCCUACGGGAGGCAGCAGUGGGGAAUCUUGCGCAAUGCGCGAAAGCGUGACGCAGCAACACCGCGUGAGGGAAGACGGCCUUAGGGUUGUAAACCUCUUUCAGAUGGGACGAAGGUGAUGCGGUGAAUAGCCGAUGUCAUUGACGGUACCGUCAGAAGAAGCUCCGGCUAACUACGUGCCAGCAGCCGC